rnacentral:tRNA from 1 species
GGGGGCAGAGCUCAGUGGUAGAGCGUGUGCUUAGCAUGUAUGAGGUCCUAGGCUCAACCCCCAGUACCUCCA